UCAAGCUACAAAGAGCUUAAGGUGAAUGCCUUGGCACUGGGAGCCGAAGAAGGACGUGGCAAGCUGCGAAAAGCUGCGGGGAGCUGCAAGCAAGCAUUGAUCCGCAGAUGUCCGAAUGGAGCAAUCCACAUAGGGUAAUGCCUGUGUAUCAUACAGUGAAUCCAUAGCUGUAUGAGGGGAACCGCCUGAACUGAAACAUCUAAGUAGGGCGAGGAAGAGAAAUCAAACGAGAUUCCGCUAGUAGUGGCGAGCGAACGCGGAAGAGGCCAAACCAGAAGCAGCAAUGUUUCUGGGGUUUAGGACUGCAUUUAGCAUUGACAAGGGUUAGCCGAACUGCAUGGGAAGGCAGACGAAACAGGGUGAGAGUCCCGUAGGCGAAAAUUUGAGUCAGCGAGCAGGAUCCAGAGUACCGCAAGACACGUGAAACCUUGUGGGAAGAUGGGGGGACCACCCUCCAAGCCUAAAUACUACCCAGUGACCGAUAGCGCAAAGUACUGUGAAGGAAAGGUGAAAAGGACCCCGGGAGGGGAGUGAAAAAGAACCUGAAACCCUAAGCUUACAAGCACCGAGAGCACGUCAAAGUGUGAUCGGGUACUUUUUGUAGAACGGUCCGGCGAGCGUAUGUAUGCAGCAAGGUUAAGGACCUAAGGUCCGGAGCCGAAGCGAGAGCAAGUCUGAAUAGGGCGUCAAGUUGCAUGCAUAGGGCCCGAAACCGGGUGACCUAUCCAUGUCCAGGCUGAAGUUGGGGUAAGACCCAAUGGAGGGCCGAACCGACCUCCGUUGAAAAGGCGGCGGAUGAGGUGUGGAUAGCGGAGAAAUUCCAAUCGAACCCGGAGAUAGCUGGUUCUCCCCGAAAUAGCUUUAGGGCUAGCGUUGUAUAUGAUUACCGGAGGUAAAGCACUGAAUGGCCUAGGGCCCUAACGGGUACCGAAGCCUAUCAAACUAAGAAUGCCGGAUAAUUUGAGUACAGCAGUCAGACUAUGGGAGAUAAGUUUCAUGGUCAAAAGGGAAACAGCCCAGACCCACAGCUAAGGUCCCAAAUAUGAUUUAAGUGGAAAACGAUGUGGGGUUGCGAAAACAACCAGGAUGUUGGCUUAGAAGCAGCCACUCAUUUAAAGAGUGCGUAAUAGCUCACUGGUCGAGUGACCCUGCGCGGAAAAUUCAACGGGGCUAAAAUCAUAACCGAAGCUUGGGAUGCAUUAAUGCAUGGUAGGGGAGCGUUGUGUAAGGGGUGAAGUCACAGCGAAAGCGGUGGUGGACAUUACACAAGUGAGAAUGCCGGAAUGAGUAGCGCGAAUUGUGUGAGAAUCAUAAUGGCCGAAAGUCUAAGGUUUUUGGAGGAAGGUUCGUCCGCUCCAAGUUAGUCGGGAGCUAAGGUCAGGCCGAAAGGCGUAGCCGAUGCACAUACGGUAGAGAUUCCGUAACCGUCAAAAGAUUUAAGCAAAGGGACACUUUGGGAAGGUACAAGCCAGGCGUUGGUAGCCCUGGCCGUAAGGGACUGAAGUUUAGUAGGGAAGUGUACUGGAACAGAGGCGAGAAAAGCUUUGUGUAUAUCUGAGAUGCCCGUACCGCAAACCGACACAGGUAGAUGGGAAGAGAAUUCUAAGGCCAACGGGAGAAGGGUUGUUAAGGAACUCGGCAAGUUGACCCCGUAACUUCGGAAUAAGGGGAGCCUCGAAAGAGGCCGCAGUGAAUAGGCCCAAGCAACUGUUUACCAAAAACACAGGUCUAUGCUAAAUCGAAAGAUGACGUAUAUGGGCUGACGCCUGCCCGGUGCCGGAAGGUUAAGAGGAGGGCUUAGCGCAAGCGAAGGUCUGAAUUGAAGCCCCGGUAAACGGCGGCCGUAACUAUAACGGUCCUAAGGUAGCGAAAUUCCUUGUCAGGUAAG
rnacentral:rRNA from 1 species